GUGGCACUGUCCGGCAUUAAAAUUUUCAUUGUCCCAAAAUAAAGAACUCUUCUUUUGAAAAAUUGGUUCCCAUGGUUUGUUCUUGAGAUAUUUCAUUUUGUUUAAAACCAUGUGACGUCAUUUACUCAAUUCCAUAUAAAAUAUAUAAUGGAAUAUCAGUAAAUGUUGUGUGUCUUUGCUAUUCUUGACGGAUUUGGUUACAAAACAGUAUGCUUAAUGAUGUAUGUAAUUAAAUUAACAAAUCGCCGCAUCUUUGGAAAGAUUUUGAUAAAAAAUAGCAAAGAUACACAACACAUUACAUAUGUAAUUUAGUAAAUGACGUCACACGGUUACAAAUAAAACUAGUAUCUGUAUCUCAAGAACUAAGGAUGGGGAACAAACAUCUUCAAAAUAAGUUACUAUACAGUUUUAAGAGUAUUUUCGUUUAAGAAAAUAAAAAUUUUAAUGACAGUACCGCUUUAAUGAUAUUCUGUUAUUGACGUUCCUCUAACUUAAAUGGUCUGUACCAAUGCAGGUAUAGUGCCGAUAAUUACAAAGCUUUGGUUGAUAAAGAUGCAACUAUCUGAAAAAUACCAAAAGAACUUCACUAGAAACGUCGAAGUUCUCUUUGAAUUUUUCAGGUUGUUCAAACCAAGAACAUACAAAGGUUUCAUCCCUCCAAAUGGAAAGAUACUACUCGGUAAGUUUCCACUAAACUAUCUUGGAAUAUCAUAAAUUCUACCCAAUCUUUUAUUGGCAAAUAUUAUUAAAAUCUAUUAUUUUAAAUAAAAUAUUUACCGUAAUAAUGUUACAACUGUCUAGAUCAGUGUUUUACUAAUUAUUUUUCAAAAGCACACGAAUUUUAUACAGAAUAUUGAAACAUGUUUAAAUAAAAAGCAACCAGAUAGCCUCCAAAGUGCUAAUAGACAAAUAGAUCCUAGACUAAUAAACUAAUCUGCUAUUAUUAUUAUGAUAACAGUUUAUGAUCUCCUAACUGUGAUUAUGAUCCUCUUACUAAUUAUUUUUCAAAAGCACACGAAUUUUAUACAGAAUAUUAAAACAUGUUUAAAAGCAACCAGAUAGCUUCCAAGGUGCUAAUAAAUAAAUAGAUCCUAGACGAAUAACCUAAUCUGCUAUCAUUAUUAUGAUAACAGUUUAUGAUCCCCUAACUGUGAUUAUGAUCCUCUUACUAAUUAUUUUUCAAAAGCACACGAAUUUUAUACAGAAUAUUAAAACAUGUUUAAAAGCAACCAGAUAGCUUCCAAGGUGCUAAUAAAUAAAUAGAUCCUAGACGAAUAACCUAAUCUGCUAUCAUUAUUAUGAUAACAGUUUAUGAUCCCCUAACUGUGAUUAUGAUCCUCUUACUAAUUAUUUUUCAAAAGCACACGAAUUUUAUACAGAAUAUUAAAACAUGUUUAAAAGCAACCAGAUAGCUUCCAAGGUGCUAAUAAAUAAAUAGAUCCUAGACGAAUAACCUAAUCUGCUAUCAUUAUUAUGAUAACAGUUUAUGAUCCCCUAACUGUGAUUAUGAUCCUCUUACUAAUUAUUUUUCAAAAGCACACGAAUUUUAUACAGAAUAUUAAAACAUGUUUAAAAGCAACCAGAUAGCUUCCAAGGUGCUAAUAAAUAAAUAGAUCCUAGACGAAUAACCUAAUCUGCUAUCAUUAUUAUGAUAACAGUUUAUGAUCCCCUAACUGUGAUUAUGAUCCUCUUACUAAUUAUUUUUCAAAAGCACACGAAUUUUAUACAGAAUAUUAAAACAUGUUUAAAAGCAACCAGAU